rnacentral:rRNA from 1 species
UUUUGCUUGCAAACUAAAGAUGGCGACCGGCGCACGGGUGAGUAACACGUAUCCAACCUGCCGAUAACUCGGGGAUAGCCUUUCGAAAGAAAGAUUAAUAUCCGAUGGUAUAUUAAAACCGCAUGGUUUUACUAUUAAAGAAUUUCGGUUAUCGAUGGGGAUGCGUUCCAUUAGUUUGUUGGGGGGGUAACGGCCCACCAAGACUACGAUGGAUAGGGGUUCUGAGAGGAAGGUCCCCCACAUUGGAACUGAGACACGGUCCAA